CAAGUACUCCCUCCGUCCGGAAUUACUUGUCAUCAAAAUGGAUGUGUCUAGAACUAAAAUACAUCUAGAUACAUCCAUUUCAAUGACAAGUAUUUUCGNAUUUUCGGACGGAGGGAGUACAAG
rnacentral:pre_miRNA from 1 species